rnacentral:rRNA from 1 species
CCUACGGGGGGCAGCAGUGAGGAAUAUUGGUCAAUGGACGAGAGUCUGAACCAGCCAAGUAGCGUGAAGGAUGACUGCCCUCUGGGUUGUAAACUUCUUUUAUAUGGGAAUAAAACGUUCCACGUGUGGGAUUUUGUAUGUACCAUAUGAAUAAGGAUCGGCUAACUCCGUGCCAGCAGCCGCGGUAAUACGGAGGAUCCGAGCGUUAUCCGGAUUUAUUGGGUUUAAAGGGAGCGUAGGUGGAUUGUUAAGUCAGUUGUGAAAGUUUGCGGCUCAACCGUAAAAUUGCAGUUGAAACUGGCAGUCUUGAGUACAGUAGAGGUGGGCGGAAUUCGUGGUGUAGCGGUGAAAUGCUUAGAUAUCACGAAGAACUCCGAUUGCGAAGGCAGUUCACUGGACUGCAACUGACACUGAGGCUCGAAAGUGUGGGUAUCAAACAGGAUUAGAUACCCGUGUAGUC